AGCAUUCUGCAAAUAACACAAUAGCUGAAGCAGCCUGAGGUCUUGGAAAGAAUUUUGGUGUUAGAGUCACACAGAUCUGGACACUGUUUUUGGAAGUGUGGGCUGAAGAAGCAGAGCUAACAUGACCUCCAUCUUGAACAUCUCACUUGGGCUAUCCAAACACCGUUAGCUCUUACUCCCAUUCUUUGCCCAAGCAGCCACAAUAAGAUGGAGCAAGUUGGCUAAACAACCUAACAGGAGUGACUGCAGCCUGACCAGGAGGAAAAGUACCAAUGGAAGUAUGUUCUGAAGGAAGUCAAAGUGAACAC